rnacentral:tRNA from 1 species
GGAGGAGUGGCCGAGUGGUUGAAGGCGGCGGUCUUGAAAACCGUUGGGUGUCACAGCCCCGUGGGUUCGAAUCCUACCUCCUCCGCCA